GUAGUCUCGCACAGAUGCAUAUCAAUAAGCGGAGGAAAAGAAACUAACAAGGAUUCCCCUAGUAACGGCGAGUGGAAGCGGGAAGAGCUCAAAUUUGAAAUCUUAAAGGGUUUCCCUUUACGAAUUGUAGUUUAAAGAAGUGUUUUCUGUUGAGGUUUUGGUAAAAGUUCUUUGGAAUAGGACAUCAUAGAGGGUGAGAAUCCCGUAUUUGACCUUUACUUUCAACUUUGUGAUACACUUUCAAAGAGUCGGAUUGUUUGGGAAUGCAGUCCAAAAUGGGUGGUAAAUUUCAUCUAAAGCUAAAUAUUGGCGAGAGACCGAUAGCGAACAAGUACCGUGAGGGAAAGAUGAAAAGAACUUUGAAAAGAGAGUUAAUACAGUACGUGAAAUUGUCAAAAGGGAAGCGUUUGACACCAGUGUUGUUUUUCUGAAUAAUCAAUUAAAGAACUGUCUAUGCUAAGCUUGUUUAGACUUUAUCAGCUAAUCUGUUUAGUUUUGAGCUUUUCUUUAAUGCACUUUUCAGUUAACAAGUCAACAUCAAUUUCUUUUGCUGUAAAAAAGCUUGAGGAAGGUGGCUUGAGAUUCGUCUUAAGUGUUUAUAGCCUCUUGCCUAUGCAGUCGGAGAGAUUGAGGUCUGCAGCGUAGAUCCUUCGGGGCUAAAUGCAUUUGUGCUAAGUUAUAGCAUUUUAUAGACAACUUGUUGACUAUGAUUUGUCUUGUAGCUUACUCGCUUAUGUUAUUUUACCUACGCUUAGGAUGUUGACGCAUGAGAUAUACGC
rnacentral:rRNA from 1 species